AACUGUCAAAAAAAAGCUUCAUCCCGCACUGCUGUCCACUCUCGAGCCGCAGAAACGGGACGCGCCUACCCAAGAGAGAGAUAGAGCGAAGGUGAUCAGGGUGAAUAUUCGUCGUCAUCCUCGUCACCGUCGCACUGUUGAUCUCAGCGGAGCGGCUGUCCUUCUGAAGGUUGGUUGCACACAGCCCAAACAUUUGUCACUGUAGCAGUCGGAGGAAAUUCUACAAGUUUCAGUUGACAGAUCGCCACCCAAACCAUCUUCUUAGAUUUCCGCCAGUUUACGUGAAUUUUACGUUCCACGGUGCAUGACGCGGCCAAACAGAAAACCGGUACCUCCCGAUUAGGAACAGGCCUUUCGAUUGUUAUUAUUUCCUACAGGUUUUAUUCUGUUUUUCGAUUAACUCCGCCUGGCCACGGCCAGUCCAGCUUGGAGAGAAGAGUAGAAUGAAAAGUGGCCAAGUCAAGCCAAGAUUGGUAGAAGAUUAAUUGGACGUGGAAUUUACAACAAAAGCGGAGGCACAAGCGCAAAAGAAGCAGAUUCGGCGGGCCGCAUAAACGCCCGAAGAUCGAUGAAACUGAAAUUUAUACACACUCACACACACACACACCCGGGCACGAAGUGCGCGGGGUGUAAAAGAUCGAGCGCGAAAUUAGAAGAUCCAGGUAGAAUGACGGACGGCGAGAGAGAGAGAGUUUCAUUCUUGCUGCUUAUUUCAUUAGCAUCUUCGCGGACGACGACGGCCUUCAGCGGUGGUCGGAUCGGAGUUGGUGUUUUUCGUUUGAGGUGCAGUGAAGAAAAAAAGAUCGCCUCGAGAUGAGAUUAGGGAACAAUUGGGAUGCGAUUUCGGGUGAAGAAUAAUUUUUUUUCGGUAGGGCGAUAGAAGUGAAAUAAUGAAGCCUCGGGCUGAUUGUGGGUUAUUUAUGAGCGUUAUAAUUUGUUCAACUCAUCAAAAUAUGCUGCCUCCCUUCUGCUGCCUGGCCUGGAGCUGCCGGCGAACGUAUAACUGUAUAAGCAGAUACACAUGGUCUUACAGU